GUGCUUGCUUCGGCAGCACAUAUACUAAAAUUGGAAUGAUACAGAGAAGAUUAGCAUGGCCCCUGCACAAGGAUGACAUGCAAAUUCAUGAAGCAUUCCAUAUUUUU
rnacentral:snRNA from 1 species